UGUGGAGAAUUUUGGUAAUCCAUGUUUUGUAAAUAUUUCCUCUUUUAGAUACGAUUUCAUUGCCAAGUUGGACAAAUUUUGAAUAAAACAUGAUGUUCUGCACGAUUUUUUAUUUGUAUUUUUUUUUUUGGUAUUUGAAACACUUUUAUCAGGGGGUGGAUAAGUGUAACCAAAAAGUGAACUGAGAGUGGCAGAUCAGCAGAUAAUGAGGAUCAGUGUCCAACAUCGCGAUGAUUGCAUCUGUCCUCAGGAUCAGGUUGAUAGGGCGAUCAGUCUCCAGGAUCGCUCUGAGUGGCAGCCAAAGUCAACCGUGAGUGGCCGAGACUUGUUUGCCCCCUGACAUUUAAUAAACAAUUCAUGGAAUUACUAAACCUUGCGAGAUUCACGAUACUCAAUGAAAGUCAGUAUAAGCUUGCAAAUUCCAAUAAUUCUUUUCCGUAUUAAUAGCUUAUUAUUAUUUUUUUAUUUAAAAAAAUCUUUAUAAGGGGGACCUGAAGAGAUUAAAAUAUCUCCUCGGAUUUUUCUAGUUUAAUAGAUUCACACUAGUAGUACAGCAAGGUAUAAUUUAGAUAUUACAAUCAAUGUUAUCAACAACACAAUUUUUUUGCAUAAGAAUAAUUCUGGUAUUUUUCAAUUUAAAUAACUAUUGACUUAAAAUAAUUAAGUCAUACCCGAUAGGCAGCUUUGCAUGCGUUCAAGCUCUAAAAAUAUUUGACUAUAAAUAAAUAUUUUUUUCAAUAAAACUUUUUAUUAAUUUAAACUGAAAUCCAGUUUUAUUUAAACUUGUAUAUAAACAUUCUUAAAUUGUUUUUUAUUUCAAAAAAACAUUUGCUUAUCGCUUAAUCAAAGAAGUCACACUUGAGCAAGCAACAAUAAUAAGGUAUAAAAAGAAUCGCUGAUGAGCGUAUGAAUAGUAUUUACUUAAUUCAACUGAGUCCAGGAGGUACUACAAAAGCUUAAGAAUGAAGUUUUUUGCGAUAGUGCUGUUUCUUGUGGUUAUCUGCAGUGCUUACGUGAAAUCAGAAGAACCGGUUUGUGGUCCAAACCAGGUGUUCGUUUAUUGUGGUCCAGAUUGCGAUACUUACUGUGAUGGCCAUGACUGUGGCAUCAGAUACGUUAAAUGUCCUGACAAGUGCUACUGUGCCGAGGGAUUCAAACGCAACAACAGUGAAGUUUGUAUCCCAGAAGAAUGUUGCCCAAAAACUACAUAAAAGACAUUAAAUCCAAAAAAAAUCUGUGUCAAAAUUUUGUUAAAACUAAAAAUCAAAGUUUUAAUAAAUGAUACUGUGAAAGU